GGUGGAAAUCCUAAAAGUAUUUCAGUUACUUUUUAAGGAAUUGUAUUCAAAGGAACCACUACUCGAUUCUAAUUUUAAGUGGUAUGAAAAUGUUAAAUGUCAGACAGCAUUGAAAAUAUAGUUGACAUCAGAUAUGGUAUCCACAUGUAAACCCAGCCCUGUGUAAUUAAACCAAAAAAGGACAAAAACAGCCAGUCCAUGAUGACACACACCUUUAAUUGAGAUUGAAACAUUCAGGACAGAGGCAAGUGGAUCUCUUUGAGUUCAAGAUCAGUCUGGGCAGCAUAUUUGAGAUUUGUAAUAUUUACAUAGUGAGAAAUAAAAAUUUAUUCUGUUUCAGUGCUGAAGAUCAUCACAAAACCAAACAGAUAAAUCCCCAGUACUGAUAGGUAGUGGAAGAAUACUAGGAUGAAGAAAAAAAAUGACAAUUUUUAUGUUCUGUGGAAAAAUUAGGGAGGCAAGAUGGGAGUGGUAGUUAUUGCUAUUCGACAGUGUUUUUUUAAAUAUACUUUCUAAAUAAAGUAUGUUUGGAGGAUGUCCCUCCGAAGUAACAUUUGAACAGUGAAAAAUGAGAACAAACUAUAUAAGGUUUUUCAGAAGAAGACCUCUGAGUAGUUGAAAUCACAAAUAUAAAGAUUUUGAAAUAAAUGAAUGAAUGAAUAAAUAAAUAAUAAAUAAAUAAAAAGAUUUUGAAGCCAACACAUUUGGGGUGCUUGCAGGAACAGUAAGGGGUCUGUAUGAGACGAGUGAGUUACAAUUAAUAGAAUGUAAACAUGUUAGAAGUUGCAGAUGAUAAGUCUGCUCGUAAAGAUUCCUGCAAAGCCAAACCUGGUGACCUGAUUGAAUUCAGUUCCCCAGGACCUAGGUGAUAAAAGGAGAGAAGGGAUUCAAAUAAGUUGCCUCUUGCCAUAUACUCAAGCUGUGGCAUGCAUAUGACCCAGGACAUAUAUCCCACCACAUAUACAGAAAAAAAUAUAUUUUAAGUAUAUUUAGAAGUUUGAUGUUGGAAUUCUUAGUUUAAUAUAAAAUUUGGUUUUAGUACUUUAGGGUAACUUAGAUAGACAUCAAUAUAAAAUUCAGUCUUAGUACUUUAGGAUAACCAUAUGUUCCUUAGCCUUUUUGGCUUUUGCAGAUGGAAGAAAAUGUUUUUAUUCUGACACAAAAGCCUCCAUCCAAGACCAUUGUGGGGGGAUGUUUAUAUGGGUGAUUAACCAGGUUUUUAUUAAUAAUGCUUUGUUGGCUCUCAAAUUGUUUUCCUCUUAAUCAGUUUAGCAAGAGCCAAAGUAAGUGGUUCCAAGAAACACUGAAUUUGUUCAUGUUUGUCAGCGGCCCAAUAGCCAUAGACUUUUUUUUGAUUCCUCCAGUUUGAGAAAUGUUGCUGUACUUAGUGGCUAGUUAUUUCUCACUUCUUUUUUAGCAGCGUCUUGACCAAGGAUUUUUUUUUUUUUUUUGCAUCUGAUUUAGUCUAAAAUUUUAAUCAUCUUCAAUGUAUACCACUGAUUGGAUUUUCUAAAACACUGCCCUUUCCUGCAGAAUAAAAUUCAAAGUCCACAGUUGGUAUAUCAUGCUUCAGCCUUUCUAAGUUAUUAAAUUUUUUUUCCAGAUAACUAACUCUAAGCUUUUUAUUUUUAAAGGCCCCUCCACACCGCACCCGUUUAUUAUGUUUGGGCAUGUCCCAUGUGGCCAUCAGGGGACAAACUUUGUGUGUUCUUUCCUUCAGUGUUUAAAAGAGUUCAGGGAUAAAACUCAGGUCACCAAGUUAUACAGCAAGUACCCUUAUUAGAUGUGCCAUCUUGUAGGUCCUCUGUCUCUGGUACAUUUUAAAAUUUAGGCCAGAUCUCUCAUGUGUGCCAAGUAUUUCUUCAGUAGCAUGCUGUUAACUAUUCCUCCCAUGAGCUAAACAACUUGGUAUCUGUAUAUGUGGUAGAUUUUGUUUGGUUUUGAGAUGGGUUUUUGCUCUAUGAACAGAUGGUAUCAUAGGAAAGAGCAACUUUACUAUAUAUAGUUUUUAAAUCUUUUUCAUUAUUUUAAUGCAUCUGACAGAUACUAACAUUUCUAUCAAUAAUUGUGCCUCCUUUACUUACAUUUAUUAUUAAUCUUUUAGGGCCAGGCAGUGGUGGCGCACGCCUUUAAUCCUAGCACUUGGGAGGCAGAGGCAGGCGGAUUUCUGAGUUCAAAGCCAGCCUGGUCUACAGAGUGAGUUCCAGGACAGCCAGGGCUACACAGAGAAACCCUGUCUCGAAAAACCAAAAAAAGAAAGAAAGAAAAUCUUUUAAAGAUACUAGAAGUAUAAAUGAAACUUUGAACUUUAAAUACAAAAUUAAGACAUCCAGAACUGCAAGAGCACUAGCCUAAACAUUAUAUCCUAACAUUCAUAUAUUAAUGUAUCUUAUCAAGUAAGAUAACAAAUAAUAUAUUUCUCAGAUAGUUUUCAACCAGCUACAGUAGUUCAGUUUUAGAAUUUUUAAGCUUAGUAAAUAAACUCCAGUGAUUUCCUGUGUUUGUAGUGGAAUAUUUUGAAGCAUUUGUAAAGUGUCCAUUAUCAAAAGUUAAUAUACUGUGCAGCUGUUUAAAGUAUAGGUGAAUGAAUGAACAAAUUAUAAGUAAAUUGGGGUUAUAAAAUAUUACAAGUAGAUUCAUUAGAUUUAUCACUGGUUUACUGUGGAUAAGAAAUUUUACUAAGGAUAAGCAGAGUCUUAUUUUCUUAUAAAUGGUAUAUAUUUGAAGAGGAGAGAGAAAUUCUUGAAAAUUUUAAAAAUCAUUUGAAGUCAUGUCACCUCACAGUCACUCCCAUUGUGGAAUUUAUAAAAAAAGAAACAGCACUGUGCAGAGAUUUUUAAGAGUUACAAUUGAGAAUUAAUUAACUAUUAGAACUAGGCAAAUCAUUUCAAAAUUAGCUAAUUCUAAAAUUAGCAUCAAUGAUUUUUGCUGUUUUUAAAGCAAAAUGAAAACAUUAUUCAGAAUAAUUAAUUAUUAAUUAAUUAUUAUUAUUAAAUAAUUAAUUAUUCAAGAAUUAUUCAGUUCAUUUUUAAAAUUUGAGUGUGUGUGUAUGUGUGUGUGUGUGUACACAUAUGUGCACUCGCAUGCGUACAUACACUGCAUACUAGUCAGAGGCAUUGGAUCCCCUGGAACUGGAAGUUACAGACAUUAUGAGCUGCCUGCCAUGGGUAUUAACUGAUCUCUGAUCCUCUGCAAGAGCAGUAAGCACUAAAGCCUCGCUUCUUGAAUUCUUAAUUGAGAGAUUCCACUAUCAUUUAUUCUUCCAACCUUCAAGGCCUGAAAAGGAAAGUAUUAGAGGAAAAUGGUAGGUAUAUCUAUUGUCAUUUUGAAACUUAUAAGCUAAGUGUCUUGGUUAGGGUUUCCAUUGCUGUGAAUAGUCACCAUGAUGACUAAGAUACAAGAUAACUCUUAUAAAGGAAAGCAUUUAAUUGGGGCUGGCUUACAGGUUCAGAGGUUCAGUCCAUUAUCAAGGUGGGAAGCAUGGCAGCACCCAGGCAGGUAUGAUGGUAGAGAAGGAGCUGAGAAUUCUACAUCUUGUUCUAAAGGCAAACAGGAGAAGACUGACUACCAGGCAGCUAGGAGGAGAGUCUCCAAGACCACCCCCAAAUUGACACACUUUCGUCUACAAGGCCACUCCUACUAAUGGUGCCACUUCUUGGCAAAUACAAAUUCUAUUUCGAGAGUUGGUGACAGUUUUGGGGGUUUUUAUGGGGGGGCGUUGUUUUAUUCGUUUGUUUAUUUAAAGCUUUGGCUGGCCUAAAACUCACUAUGUAGACUAGGUUUUGUCUUGAACUUUAAAGAUCCACCUGCCUUUCCUUCCCAAGUGCUAGUAUUAGAGGCAUGUAACUACCCUUCCCGGCCAGAAUAUGAUUUAGUUUUUAUUUUUAAAUACUGGAUAAUUCAAUGAAACUGAUUCUGGUGUAAAAAUUAAGAUUUAUGGGCUUAGCUGUUAAGAGCACUGGCUGCUCUUUCAGAGGUCCUAAGUUCAAUUCCCAGCAAUCAUAUGGUGGCUCACAACCAUCUGUAAUGGAAUCUGAUGCCUUCUGGUGUGUCUGAAGACAGCAUAUUCAAAUGUACAAAAGACAAAGGCAACUAAUGUUAUUCACCUUAUGCUUUUCUGGACAUGUGUGGACUUUUUUUUUUGCUAUGUUUUGUUUUUAUUUUCCCUUAGAUUUCAUUUUUAUAUGUGUUUUCCUCAUCUUACCUGUCUACUACCUGUGUAUCUAGUGCCUAUGAGGUCAGAAGAAAGUAUAGGAUUCCCUAGCACUGGAGUUAUGGACAGUUGUGAGACACAACAUGGGACCAGGAAUCAAACCUGAGUUUUCUGCAAGAACAAGAUAUGCUGUUAGCUGCUGAGCUGUCUCUCCUAUUAUUUUGUGUAUAGAUCAAACAUAGGGCCUCCAACAUGCUUGGUAAGCUUUAAAAAGACUAUACCCUAGCCUUUUUAGCCUUAGCUGUUAGAGAAAAAGGAUUUAUAUGUGAGUUCAAAGUUACUACUUGUAUAAUAGUAAUGGGAAAACAUAUAUAAAAGCAAAUAUAAAAAGGAUGAGAUUUCUAAAUAUUUUAAUUUGAGCUUGAGAAUGUAAAAACUGUUUCUUGUGGGCUCGUUCCGUUAUCAUGCCUUCUAGUACUUUAGGGAAAGGCAGUCCUUAAGUUUUAUGUUUCAAUGACCACAUUAAGUUUAUCAGAAUACAAAAUGAAAUUCAUGUUUGGUGGUGUUGUAAUAAUAUUCUUGAAUCAAUGUUUGUGUAGCAUGCAUAAGGCCAAAAGUUCUUCAUCCUUCAUGAUGUUAGUGAUGAUUCUAAAAUUGUUAAUGUUAGUAAACAUGACAAUAAUUUGGGUAAAUAUUUGCCCUAUUACAGUGAAUGUUUUUCUCUGGUUAUGACUGACUCAUUUAGAAUGUAAGCAAAAAUGUUUAAACUCAUUUUUCUAAGUUAUUUUUUGUAAUCUAAAACUCAAGAAUGUGGUAUACAACUAUAUUAAUAAACCUCGCUUGUCUAAAAAUCUGAUUAACUGGGAAA